rnacentral:misc_RNA from 1 species
CUUUCUUUCUCUAUCGCUAUAUAUAAAUAUUUUCUUGCAAACCUAUUUCUUCGCUCUCACAUCUCUGUCUCUCCUUCUUCCUCCAUACAUAAAAUCUUAAUANAAUAUCUUAAUAUCAUUAUAAAUAUAUCUAAUUGAAUCAUUCAUAGUAAUUACAGAGAGACAGAGAGGGAGAGAGCAGAAACAGAGGGCCUUUCUCGCCCUCUCUUCUUGUUAUGCCUCCUCUC